rnacentral:rRNA from 1 species
GUCGACGGUGUCUUCGGACAUAGUGGCGCACGGGUGCGUAACACGUAUGCAACCUACCUUACAUUGGGGGAUAGCCUUUCGAAAGGGAGAUUAAUACCGCAUAAGACAGUAACUAGGCAUCUAGUAGCUGUUAAAGAUUUAUCGAUGUAAGCUGGGCAUGCGUCCAAUUAGCUAGUUGGUGAGGUAAUGGCUCACCAAGGCUAUGAUUGGUAGGGGAACUGAGAGGUCAAUCCCCCACACUGGCACUGAGAUACGGGCCAGACUCCUACGGGAGGCAGCAGUAGGGAAUAUUGGGCAAUGGACGCAAGUCUGACCCAGCCAUGCCGCGUGCAGGAUGAAGGCGUUAUGCGUUGUAAACUGCUUUUAUACAGGAAGAAACGACUCUUGCGAGAGGCAUUGACGGUACUGUAUGAAUAAGCACCGGCUAACUCCGUGCCAGCAGCCGCGGUAAUACGGAGGGUGCAAGCGUUGUCCGGAUUUAUUGGGUUUAAAGGGUGCGCAGGUGGUUUAUUAAGUCAGUGGUGAAAGACGGUCGCUCAACGAUUGCAGUGCCAUUGAAACUGGUAGACUUGAGUAAAGUAGAGGUGGGCGGAAUUGAUAGUGUAGCGGUGAAAUGCAUAGAUAUUAUCAAGAACUCCAAUUGCGAAGGCAGCUCACUUGGCUUUUACUGACACUCAUGCACGAAAGUGUGGGUAUCAAACAGGAUUAGAUACCCUGGUAGUCCACACUGUAAACGAUGAUAACUAGGUGUCGGCCGAAUCUGGUCGGUGCCACAGCGAAAGCGUUAAGUUAUCCACCUGGGGAGUACGCCGGCAACGGUGAAACUCAAAGGAAUUGACGGGGGUCCGCACAGCGGUGGAGCAUGUGGUUUAAUUCGAUGAUACGCGAGAACCUUACCUAGGCUAGAAUGGUGAAGGAAUGAUACAGAAAUGGAUCAGUCAGCAUGGACUUGAACAAGGGCUGCAUGCUUGUCU